ACCAAGGGUUCCUGUCCAACGUUAAUCGGGGCAGGGUGAGUCGACCCCUAAGGCGAGGCCGAAAGGCGUAGUCGAUGGGAAACAGGUUAAUAUUCCUGUACUUGGUGUUACUGCGAAGGGGGGACGGAGAAGGCUAUGUUGGCCGGGCGACGGUUGUCCCGGUUUAAGCGUGUAGGCUGGUUUUCCAGGCAAAUCCGGAAAACCAAGGCUGAGGCGUGAUGACGAGGCACUACGGUGCUGAAGCGACAAAUGCCCUGCUUCCAGGAAAAGCCUCUAAGCAUCAGGUAACAUCAAAUCGUACCCCAAACCGACACAGGUGGUCAGGUAGAGAAUACCAAGGCGCUUGAGAGAACUCGGGUGAAGGAACUAGGCAAAAUGGUGCCGUAACUUCGGGAGAAGGCACGCUGAUAUGUAGGUGAAGCGACUUGCUCGUGGAGCUGAAAUCAGUCGAAGAUACCAGCUGGCUGCAACUGUUUAUUAAAAACACAGCACUGUGCAAACACGAAAGUGGACGUAUACGGUGUGACGCCUGCCCGGUGCCGGAAGGUUAAUUGAUGGGGUUAGCGGUAACGCGAAGCUCUUGAUCGAAGCCCCGGUAAACGGCGGCCGUAACUAUAACGGUCCUAAGGUAGCGAAAUUCCUUGUCGGGUAAGUUCCGACCUGCACGAAUGGCGUAAUGAUGGCCAGGCUGUCUCCACCCGAGACUCAGUGAAAUUGAACUCGCUGUGAAGAUGCAGUGUACCCGCGGCAAGACGGAAAGACCCCGUGAACCUUUACUAUAGCUUGACACUGAACAUUGAGCCUUGAUGUGUAGGAUAGGUGGGAGGCUUUGAAGUGUGGACGCCAGUCUGCAUGGAGCCGACCUUGAAAUACCACCCUUUAAUGUUUGAUGUUCUAACGUUGGCCCGUAAUCCGGGUUGCGGACAGUGUCUGGUGGGUAGUUUGACUGGGGCGGUCUCCUCCUAAAGAGUAACGGAGGAGCACGAAGGUUGGCUAAUCCUGGUCGGACAUCAGGAGGUUAGUGCAAUGGCAUAAGCCAGCUUGACUGCGAGCGUGACGGCGCGAGCAGGUGCGAAAGCAGGUCAUAGUGAUCCGGUGGUUCUGAAUGGAAGGGCCAUCGCUCAACGGAUAAAAGGUACUCCGGGGAUA
rnacentral:rRNA from 1 species